rnacentral:rRNA from 1 species
UACGAAGGGUGCAAGCGUUAAUCGGAAUUACUGGGCGUAAAGGGUGCGUAGGCGGUUGUUUAAGUCUGUCGUGAAAUCCCCAGGCUCAACCUGGGAACUGCAUCCGAUACUGGAUGGCUUGAAUCCGGGAGAGGGAUGCAGAAUUCCAGGUGUAGCGGUGAAAUGCGUAGAUAUCUGGAGGAAUACCGGUGGCGAAGGCGGCAUCCUGGGCCGAUACUGACGCUGAGGAGCGAAAGCGUGGGGAGCGAACAGG